rnacentral:rRNA from 1 species
UACGAAGGACCCGAGCGUUAUCCGGAUUUAUUGGGCUUAAAGGGUGCGUAGGUGGCCCUAUAAGUCAGUGGUGAAAUCCUGCAGCUUAACUGCAGAACUGCCAUUGAUACUGUUGGUCUUGAGUAUAGUUGAGGUAGGCGGAAUAUGUCAUGUAGUGGUGAAAUACUUAGAUAUGACAUAGAACACCGAUUGCGAAGGCAGCUUGCUAAGCUAUAACUGACACUGAUGCACGAAAGCGUGGGGAGCAAACAGG